rnacentral:rRNA from 1 species
AUUGAACGCUGGCGGGAUGCUUUACACAUGCAAGUCGAACGAGUGGCGGACGGGUGAGUAAUAUAUCGGAAAGUGCCUAGUAGCGGGGGAUAACUACUCGAAAGAGUGGCUAAUACCGCAUACUCUCGGAGCUGGCGAUAUCGGAUUAGCUAGUUGGUGGGGUAAAGGCUCACCAAGGCAACGAUCCGUAGCUGGUUUGAGAGGAUGACCAGCCACACUGGGACUGAGACACGGCCCAGACUCCGACGGGAGGCAGCAGUGGGGAAUUUUGGACAAUGGGGGAAACCCUGAUCCAGCCAUCCCGCGUGUAUGAGAAGGCCUUCGGGUUGUAAAGUACUUUUGGCAGAGAAGCGGUAUCUGCAGAAUAAGCACCGGCUAACUACGUGCCAGCCGCCGCGGUAAUAC